GUUAAACUUUUAAAUGAACGGUUUUAUCUAAGCACAUGGGUUAAAUCUGAUUUCUCACAAAAACCGCUUAAACACAAAAGCACGAUUUUUAUAAUUAAUCAUGAUACAUUUCUAACUGCUUCUGGAGUUCUUCAGCCAUGGAGUUGCCCGGAUCCAGAUGUCCUCACCACCCACCACCCACAGGGCACAAGGCCACCACUCACCAGAUACCGAAGCCGUAGCAAAGCAAACUAGCAAAUCAAGGCAAGUCUGGAACGGCCCCACCGAUCCGACCCAAAGCCCAAAUCGGAUUCCCCUCGUUUCUCAUCACGCCACCGUUUACCCGCCGCCGCACUGGCAGCGGCGAUGGCGUCGUCGUCGUCGCGGCCCCUGCUCUGCCGCCUCGCGGAACUGGCCAGCGGCCGCGUCCGCGCCAACUACCGCAUGCUCUCAUCCGCCUUUUCAUCCACUGCCUCCACCGAGAGGGUUUCGCAGUCGCCGGCGGAGCCCGAGGCGGUGCUCAUGACGGAAGGUUGCGUCCGGAGAUUAAAAGAAUUACAUGCUAAAGAACCAUCCUCUGAAGGUAAGAUGCUGCGCUUAAGCGUUGAAGCUGGUGGAUGUUCUGGGUUUCAAUAUUCUUUCGCUCUUGAUGACAAGAAAAACUCAGAUGAUAGGGUUUUUGAGACUGAUGGUGUUAAAUUGGUCGUGGAUGACAUCUCAUAUGACUUUGUAAAAGGUGCCACUGUGGAUUAUGAGGAGGAACUUAUACGUUCAGCGUUCGUGGGACACUUGGUGGCAGGCCUUGAACAAGGUGGGGUUGCAUCACUUGACUCCAGGAUUGACAGCAUCAAUAUUUCAGGAUUGGUGGAAAGAAGCUGAGUGUCAGGUGCAAAAAAUCAGAAAAGUGGUUUCGAUUCUAUGGUGAUUCUUGUGCAUGGUGGCUCUGGAAACAUAGAAAUUUAUGUGUGUUUGAUGGAGCAUCCCCCAACAUCAGCACCAUCAUGCAACAUAUUCAGGAGGAUGUCACCCUGUGGAGCUUGGCAGGAGCUAAAGAUCUCAGGAGGUUUCAACAAAUCCUAGUGCUGUUGGGGGCUGCAGCUGCAAGAGUUCUUUCAUGGUGAAAUAGCUUCAAUUACCUUGAAGAGAUCAAUAAUUGGAAAUAGCAUUCUGUAGCGAAUCAUACGCUUUGGAUCUGAGUGUACAAUUGUUAUUUUUUGGUAGUUCUGAAGACGUUUCUUUUUUAGUUUUGUUACUGUUGGAAACAUCAUCACAAACUGUCUGGUUCAAUCUGUACCCCUCUAACUUGUGAUAGUUGUGAUAUGAUGACAAGUUUAUGUACAUAAUCUUGUAGCUAUUAACAGUUGACUUUAUGUUGCUCCUUAUAAAAUUGCAAAAUAAGACGAACAGUAUUUUUGUAUUGA